rnacentral:rRNA from 1 species
AUGGCGGCCUUGCCGUUAGCCACGGCGGAAGUCUGCGACGCCAACUCGCACCUCAUCACCGGCGGCGAGCUGCGCGCGCUGCAGCCCAUCUUCCAGAUCUACGGGAGGCGGCAGGUCUUCGCGGGCCCCGUCGUGACGCUCAAGGUGUUCGAGGACAACGUGCUGGUGCGCGAGUUCCUGGAGGAGAAGGGCCAGGGCAGGGUGCUGGUGGUGGACGGCGGCGGCAGCCUGCGGUGCGCCAUCCUGGGCGGCAACCCCGUCCAGCAGGCGCAGAACAACGGGUGGGCGGGCAUCGUGGUGAACGGGUGCAUCCGGGACGUGGACGAGAUCAACGGGUGCGACAUCGGCGUGCGCGCCCUCGCCUCGCACCCCAUGAAGGCCAACAAGAAGGGGAUGGGCGAGAAGCACGUCCCGGUCACCAUCGCGGGCACCAGGAUCUGCGACGGCGAGUGGCUCUACGCCGACACCGACGGCAUCCUCGUCUCCAGGACCGAGCUCAUCGUGUAG